rnacentral:lncRNA from 1 species
AAGGCCGAGAAAUGGCUAUUUGAAUGCCGCAACCUGGAGGAAAAGUAUGAGUCGGUGACAAAGGAGAAGGAGCGGCUGUUGGCGGAGCGGGACUCCUUGCGGGAGGCCAAUGAGGAGCUGCGCUGCGCCCAGCUGCAGCCGCGGGGGUUGACCCAGGCCGAUCCCUCACUGGAUCCCACCUCCACACCCGUGGAUAACUUAGCCGCAGAGAUCCUGCCUGCGGAGCUCAGGGAGACGCUCCUGCGGCUUCAGCUGGAGAACAAGCGGCUGUGCAGGCAGGAGGCGGCCGACCGGGAGCGGCAGGAGGAGCUGCAGCGCCACCUGGAGGAUGCCAACCGCGCGCGCCACGGGUUGGAGACGCAGCACCGGCUGAACCAGCAGCAGCUAUCCGAGCUGCGGGCCCAGGUGGAGGACCUGCAGAAAGCCCUGCAGGAGCAGGGGGGCAAGACUGAAGAUGUGAGUGUCACCCACCACCUCCCAGCCUGGCCCUCCCUUGUGCCCCGAAGUAACCCUCCUCUCUCUCCCAUGCUGCCCGAUGCCCCAUACAGGCCAUUGUAAGUACCAUGGGCCCAGGAUGGCACCCCCUACCC